rnacentral:lncRNA from 1 species
GAGUUCCUCAACCCCUCCAAAACUCGCCUGGUGGACUAAUAUGCUCUAGCGGCGUCCAUGUGGAAGAAAUGGGAGAUAAGAAUGGUGAAUGUUACAUAGUGAAUGCAGCUGUUUAUGUUGGUUACUAAGUUCUGUUUGAUGUUCACCUAAUGUCGCAAGUCUUUUAAAUUUACUCUUCUCCUCUUAACCCGAUAAAUCUAUCCCAGGUAAUGUCGUUGGUUCUCCUUCAGUUGUAGUGGUGGUUCAGCAUUACCGUGUAGAUAUUUGUUUACAACUGAUAUUCUUCUUGUUAUUAUUUCGAUGUUUGUUACAAUGUCUGUAGAAUAUGGAUGAUUACGAUCAACUGAACUUGAUUGUUGUUAUUUGAUUGACAGCCUGAAAUUUCUUCAUUGUAUUUUAUAGCUCUGCUUCACUUUGGUGCUUGUAUACUUGAGAGCCUAUUUGAGUUGUUGACAUUGGAUUACAAAUGUGAUCAUUAGGUUGCAGAAAGGCAAAGAAAUCUACCAGUUUUAUGUUUCAAAACCAAUGAGAUGUUCUUAUUUGUUUGUUAUAAGUAAGGUGUUUGGAGAACAGAAACUAAGAAAACACUCAAAGUAAUCUGAUGAUUCUGAUUGUGACAUGAGGUUGUAGCCCAAAUUCUUGCAUAUGUUAAACUCUAACAUGUUCUUCUUACCAUCUAAGUGCUAUUUGCUUAUUUGUAGCUUGCUCUUAUUUAAAAAUUUGUGAGCUGUUGUUGGUGAUGGGGUGACUAAUUCAAAUGUUUUGAACUGCUUUGUUUUUGAGUUCCUUGUAUAUCAACCUAAAAAAUAUUUACUAAGCUUUCAAACAAUGUGAUGGUAUAUUAUGAACUGUUGUAGUGUGGUUAGGAAAUAAAUGUUACUUGAUGCAUAUGCUUGGCAAAAUUUGCCUAACAUGAGCAACUGUGAUUUUUGUUGUUUUGACUUCUGUUCAUAAGUUUGAAAUUCACCAAUUUCCUUGCAUCAUCUUGAUUAACAGUUUACUUUGGAUCCCAAGUGGUGUGUGGCCGGGGGAGAGGAAAGCAGAGAGGCAGUUGUUCAGAGGGAUAUGCACUUUUGUGGUUUAUUUUGUGGAUUGAAAAGUAAAUUUGAGAUGUAUAUAUGGAUAGUUUGGUAUAUAUUUUGUGGAUGUAGUAAUUUGAAACUGUAAACGAAUGGUACUAUUGGGAUAUAUUUUGAAUGGUUGAUACAUUUUGGUUUUAAAUUUAAAUGAGAAUGUAGACCUUAUCAUGACAUUAGCAUAUUGCAGGUGCAUUGGUAAUGUGGG